rnacentral:rRNA from 1 species
CCUACGGGGGGCAGCAGUGGGGAAUAUUGGACAAUGGGCGAAAGCCUGAUCCAGCCAUGCCGCGUGUGUGAAGAAGGCCUUCGGGUUGUAAAGCACUUUCAGUGGGGAAGAAAGCCUUGGGGCUAAUACCCUCGAGGAAGGACAUCACCCACAGAAGAAGCACCGGCUAACUCCGUGCCAGCAGCCGCGGUAAUACGGAGGGUGCGAGCGUUAAUCGGAAUUACUGGGCGUAAAGCGCGCGUAGGCGGUCUGAUAAGCCGGCUGUGAAAGCCCCGGGCUCAACCUGGGAACGGCAUCCGGAACUGUCAGGCUAGAGUGCAGGAGAGGAAGGUAGAAUUCCCGGUGUAGCGGUGAAAUGCGUAGAGAUCGGGAGGAAUACCAGUGGCGAAGGCGGCCUUCUGGACUGACACUGACGCUGAGGUGCGAAAGCGUGGGUAGCAAACAGGAUUAGAUACCCCAGUAGUC